rnacentral:rRNA from 1 species
ACUCGAGUGGCGAACGGGUGAGUAACACGUGGGUGAUCUGCCCUGCACUUCGGGAUAAGCCUGGGAAACUGGGUCUAAUACCGGAUAGGAGCCAUUUUUAGUGUGAUGGUUGGAAAGUUUUUUCGGUGUAGGAUGAGCUCGCGGCCUAUCAGCUUGUUGGUGGGGUAAUGGCCUACCAAGGCGGCGACGGGUAGUCGGCCUGAGAGGGUGGACGGCCACAUUGGGACUGAGAUACGGCCCAG